UUAUGUGACCAAACCAUCUUAUCAAUGCCCAAUGCUCUUAUCUCAUCUGACCUCUGAAGCUAAGCAGGGUUGAACCUGGUUAGUACUUGGAUGGGAGACCACUGGGAAUACCGGGUGCCACAGUGG
rnacentral:rRNA from 1 species